UGGGGAAUCUUGCGCAAUGGACGAAAGUCUGACGCAGCGACGCCGCGUGGGUGACGAAGGCCUUCGGGUUGUAAAGCCCUGUGGGGUGAGACGAACAGCUGGGAUUCGAACAGGGUCUUGGUCUGACGGUAUCACCUUAGCAAGCACCGGCUAACUCUGUGCCAGCAGCCGCGGUAAUACAGAGGGUGCAAACGUUGCUCGGAAUUACUGGGCGUAAAGCGCGUGUAGGCGGUUUUAUAAGUCCAACGUGAAAGCCUGGGGCUCAACCCCAGAAGUGCGUAGGAUACUGUGAAGCUGGAGUCCUGAAGAGGAGAGCGGAAUUCCCGGUGUAGAGGUGAAAUUCGUAGAUAUCGGGAGGAACACCUGUGGCGAAGGCGGCUCUCUGGGCAGGUACUGACGC
rnacentral:rRNA from 1 species